rnacentral:lncRNA from 1 species
UAUAAGAUAAGCCAGAUUGUAUCAUGGGGAUCAGAUUCUUCUCUCAUUGAUGGGGCCAACUGUGCUCAUCUAGUUAGUUGUUUGCCAGCUUGAUAUCUAUUCUUAUUCCCAAUCCUUACAAGCAUCAGAUUUCAGGUAAUGGAUGGUUUAACCUGGUACCAGUUGGAAUCUCUCUCUCUCUCUUUUUCUUUUUUGUAUUUAAACCAGUGUGAGAAGGCCACAUGUCAGACCAGGCUUUAGCUAUAAGACAGAUUGAUAUCAGUUGUUUUCUCAUUUUGUACAAGCUUAAGCUUUUGGGGUUAAUGCUAGUUUAGCACACCUAUGUAGGCUAUGCUUUCAGCAUGAGCACCUCAUCAUAAUCUGCUGAAACUGUUUAUUAACUCACCUCACCAUCUUCUUGCAGGAAAAAAGGGCAUAUGGCAUAUUUAUGCAACCAGAAUCAAGGGAACUUUAUGCUCAUCCCAAUUUGAAAUUUAAAAUUUGAGCAAGAGACAAAUAGUAACAGAAAAAUGACCUGCUGUUUGCAAAUUUUUACUUACACAAGUAGAUGACUUGAGCAAGCUAUUAUUCCUGGGUUCAAUAGAUUACUGUGAGAUAUACACAGAGGCACCUUGGUCGUAUAGGUAAGAGAGGAGCAGGAUCAUAUAUCCUUUUUAUGUUUUUUGGAUGACUGAAAAUUUCAGAUAGCUGACCUGUGAUUUAUAGUGACAAUCUUUUAAAUAAGGUCAUCUAGAUGUGG